rnacentral:rRNA from 1 species
UACAGAGGUCUCAAGCGUUGUUCGGAUUCAUUGGGCGUAAAGGGUGUGUAGGUGGCGCGCUAAGUCGGGUGUGAAAUUUCGGAGCUUAACUCCGAAACUGCAUUCGAUACUGGCGUGCUUGAGGACUGGAGAGGGGACUGGAAUUCAUGGUGUAGCAGUGAAAUGCGUAGAGAUCAUGAGGAAGACCAGUGGCGAAGGCGGGUCUCUGGACAGUUCCUGACACUGAGACACGAAGGCCAGGGGAGCAAACGGG